CAGCCGUAAACAAUGUGCGUUAGGUGUGUCGGUAACCACGUGUUACUGAUGCGCCGAAGAGAAAUCGUGAAACGCACCACCUGGGAAGUACGGUCGCAAGGCUGAAACUUAAAGGAAUUGGCGGGGGAGCACCACAACAGGUGGAGCCUGCGGUUUAAUUGGAUUCAACGCCGGGAAGCUCACCGGAUAGGACAGCAGAAUGAUUGCCGGGCUGAAGACCCUGCAUGACUAGCUGAGAGGAGGUGCAUGGCGUCAGUGACU
rnacentral:rRNA from 1 species